UACGGGGGGGGCAAGCGUUGUUCGGAAUUACUGGGCGUAAAGGGCUCGUAGGCGGCCCACUAAGUCCGACGUGAAAUCCCCAGGCUUAACUUGGGAACUGCGUCGGAUACUGGUGGGCUUGAAUCCGGGAGAGGGAUGCGGAAUUCCAGGUGUAGCGGUGAAAUGCGUAGAUAUCUGGAGGAACACCGGUGGCGAAGGCGGCAUCCUGGACCGGCAUUGACGCUGAGGCGCGAAGGCGUGGGGAGCGAACGGG
rnacentral:rRNA from 1 species